rnacentral:rRNA from 1 species
UACGUAGGGGGCAAGCGUUGUCCGGAAUCAUUGGGCGUAAAGCGCGUGUAGGCGGCCAGGUAGGUCCGUUGUGAAAACUCGAGGCUCAACUUCGAGAUGUCGGCGGAAACCAUUUGGCUAGAGUCCGGAAGAGGAGAGUGGAAUUCCUGGUGUAGCGGUGAAAUGCGCAGAUAUCAGGAAGAACACCCGUGGCGAAGGCGGCUCUCUGGGACGGUACUGACGCUGAGACGCGAAAGCGUGGGGAGCGAACAGG